UACGGGGGGGGCAAGCGUUGUUCGGAAUUACUGGGCGUAAAGGGCUCGUAGGCGGCCAACUAAGUCAGACGUGAAAUCCCUCGGCUUAACCGGGGAACUGCGUCUGAUACUGGAUGGCUCGAGUUUGGGAGAGGGAUGCGGAAUUCCGGGUGUAGCGGUGAAAUGCGUAGAUAUCUGGAGGAACACCGGUGGCGAAGGCGGCAUCCUGGACCAACACUGACGCUGAGGAGCGAAAGCCAGGGGAGCAAACGGG
rnacentral:rRNA from 1 species